rnacentral:rRNA from 1 species
UACGUAGGGGGCAAGCGUUGUCCGGAAUCAUUGGGCGUAAAGAGCGUGUAGGUGGCUCGGUAAGUCCGCUGUGAAAGUCCAGGGCUCAACCCUGGAAUGCCGGUGGAUACUGUCGGGCUCGAAUCCGGAAGAGGUGAGUGGAAUUCCUGGUGUAGCGGUGAAAUGCGCAGAUAUCAGGAGGAACACCAAUGGCGAAGGCAGCUCACUGGGACGGUAUUGACGCUGAGACGCGAAAGCGUGGGGAGCGAACAGG